rnacentral:rRNA from 1 species
UGGAGCCGAACCCAUGCAAGUCGAGCGGUACAUUUCUAGGCUUGCUAGAAGAUGACGAGCGGCGGACGGGUGAGAAAUGCUUGGGAAUAUGCCUUAGGGUGGGGGACAACAGUUGGAAACGACUGCUAAUACCGCAUAACGUCUACGGACCAAAGGGGGCUUCGGCUCUCGCCCUUAGAUUAGCCCAAGUGGGAUUAGCUAGUUGGUGAGGUAAUGGCUCACCAAGGCGACGAUCCCUAGCUGGUUUGAGAGGAUGAUCAGCCACACUGGAACUGAGACACGGUCCAGACUCCUACGGGAGGCAGCAGUGGGGAAUAUUGCACAAUGGGCGCAAGCCUGAUGCAGCCAUGCCGCGUGUGUGAAGAAGGCCUUAGGGUUGUAAAGCACUUUCAGUAAGGAGGAAAGGUUAGUAGUUAAUACCUGCUAGCUGUGACGUUACUUACAGAAGAAGCACCGGCUAACUCCGUGCCGGCAGCCGCGGUAAUACGGAGGGUGCGAGCGUUAAUCGGAAUUACUGGGCGUAAAGCGUACGCAGGCGGUUUGUUAAGCGAGAUGUGAAAGCCCCGGGCUCAACCCUGGGGAACUGCAUUUCGAACUGGCAAACUAGAGUAUGAUAGGAGGGUGGUAG